CAGCAGCCGCGGGAAUACGUAGGUGGCAAGCGCUGUCCGGAAUUAUUGGGCGUAAAGGGCUCGCAGGCGGUUUCUUAAGUCUGAUGUGAAAGCCCCCGGCUCAACCGGGGAGGGUCAUUGGAAACUGGGAAACUUGAGUGCAGAAGAGGAGAGUGGAAUUCCACGUGUAGCGGUGAAAUGCGUAGAGAUGUGGAGGAACACCAGUGGCGAAGGCGACUCUCUGGUCUGUAACUGACGCUGAGGAGCGAAAGCGUGGGGAGCGAACAGGAUUAGAUACCCCGGUAGUCCCUGUCUCUUAUAC
rnacentral:rRNA from 1 species